GACGAACGCUGGCGGCGUGCUUAACACAUGCAAGUCGAACGGAAAGGCCCUGCUUUUGUGGGGUGCUCGAGUGGCGAACGGGUGAGUAACACGUGAGUAACCUGCCCCUGUCUGUGGGAUAACUUCAGGAAACUGGGGCUAAUACCGGAUAGGAGCUCCUGCUGCAUGGUGGGGGUUGGAAAGUUUCGGCGGUUGGGGAUGGACUCGCGGCUUAUCAGCUUGUUGGUGGGGUAGUGGCUUACCAAGGCUUUGACGGGUAGCCGGCCUGAGAGGGUGACCGGCCACAUUGGGCCUGAGAUACGGCCCAGACUCCUACGGGAGGCAGCAGUGGGGAGUAUUGCACAAUGGGCGGAAGCCUGAUGCGGCACCGCCGCGUGCGGGAUAACGGCCUUCGGGUUGUAAACCGCUUUCGCCUGUGACGAGGCGUGAGUGACGGUAAUGGGUAAAGAAGCACCGGCUAACUACGUG
rnacentral:rRNA from 1 species